CAAUAGCGUAUAUUUAAGUUGUUGCAGUUAAAAAGCUCGUAGUUGGAUUUCGGAUGGGACUUGCCGGUCCGUCGUUUCGAUGUGCACUGGCCAGUCCUAUCUUGUUGUCGGGGACUAGCUCCUGGGCUUCACUGUCCGGGACUAGGAGCUGACGAGGUUACUUUGAGUAAAUUAGAGUGUUCAAAGCAAGCCUACGCUCUGAAUACAUUAGCAUGGAAUAACACGAUAGGACUCUGGCUUAUCUUGUUGGUCUGUGAGACCAGAGUAAUGAUUAAGAGGGACAGUCGGGGGCAUUCGUAUUCCGUUGUCAGAGGUGAAAUUCUUGGAUUUACGGAAGACGAACAUCUGCGAAAGCAUUUGCCAAGGAUGUUUUCAUUGA
rnacentral:rRNA from 1 species